UAUCUCAUUCUUCAUUUUUCUUGCAAGUGGCCGGUAGAUUGCUCUUUUUAAAUUUUUUUUUUUACCUGUAGUCUUAUAAGAAAAGUGAAUAUAAGUUUUUCAUUUGCUAAAGAAAGGUAGUUCUAGCCUUUCCUUUUCCUUAAAGUUACUCACCCGGUGAAGAAAAUAAAGAGGAUAUUUGAGAAAGUUCUAUUUUAAUUUGUUUCCUGAACCAGUCAUUUUUUUAUUUUGGAUGUAGAUUUCAUGGUUUCAUUAUGAUUAUUACAUGCUUCCUAUUCCCAUGAAACUGAUUUCCCAUAUUUAUUCUUCUCAGGUGACAGAAUCUGAAGUUUUAAUGCAUAAUCGAAUACCUGUUGGAUAUGCUUCAUGCCCCACACAAACAGUGACAGAAUCUGAAGUUUUAAUGCAUAAUCGUAUACCUGUUGGAUAUGCUUCAUGCCCCACAGAGACAGUGAGUAUCAUUAGACUUUUAGAGUGUUGGUUGUGUUUUAGCUGAGUAAAGCUAUAACUCAAAGUUAAUUCAUUAAAUGCUUAUCCAUUUUAUUAGGACA